ensembl:lncRNA
CCUGGGGAGGUGCAGCCCUGCGAGCACAGCUGAUGGCAAUCCGGCUGUGGGGUGGGGCUGAGACGGGCUCCUCCCCUCCCUGACCGCAUUUAAGGGCUGGGAAGCAAAGGGGCAGCAUCUGAGUCUGGCUGUGCUUCCUUGAGGGUGUGGGGGUGAGUUCUUCUGUACUGGAGGGCUGUGAUCUACUCCUUUGCUGGGGGUUCAUGGCUGCAUUUUGGGGCUGGCAGCCAUCUGUACCUGGAAACUGCUUCUUUGGGGGAGUGAGUGAGUGAGUACUGGUCCUUGGAAUGGGGUGGCAGCAGAGAGCUGCAGCGCUCCCGAGUGCUGUAAGGACUGCACGGAGAGACGUGCGGGUCUUCACGGGAACAGCAAGGAACCGAAAGCUGCAUUUCCUGGGAUGCCCUGGAACCCCACUUUGCUGACUGGUAAUUGUCUGCCCAGCAGGUGGCAGCAGAGAGCUGCAGCGCUCCCGAGUGCUGUAAGGACUGCACGGAGAGACGUGCGGGUCUUCACGGGAACAGCAAGGAACCGAAAGCUGCAUUUCCUGGGAUGCCCUGGAACCCCACUUUGCUGACUGGUAAUUGUCUGCCCAGCAGGUGGCAGCAGAGAGCUGCAGCGCUCCCGAGUGCUGUAAGGACUGCACGGAGAGACGUGCGGGUCUUCACGGGAACAGCAAGGAACCGAAAGCUGCAUUUCCUGGGAUGCCCUGGAACCCCACUUUGCUGACUGGUAAUUGUCUGCCCAGCAGGCAGGUCUUCAAUGAAGAUAUUGGACAGAACAGGCCUGAAGAGCACUCAGGAUGGCAUACCAGCUGCUUUUAACACAAUGGAGCAGCACUCAUUAGGCCAGCCGGUUCAGCUACUUCUUCAUCUAGCAAGCAAUGUACCCGUCCAAGUAGCCGGCUGCAAUCUUUGAGAGAAUUUCAAGGGAUAGCACAUCAAAGGCUUUGCCUCAAUCAUGGGGUUGGGUCACUGCUUUGAGUGUGCUAGCGUGGCUGACCAUAAUCCUGUAACUGACAUCCUGUAGCUGGACAGAGACCAUUUGCACUCCAUCCAGGCUGUUUGAGACUCACGGCCAUGCUGAGAGUCACACUGAUUUCAGCGUGUGCAGUCAUUUUGCAUCAACCCAAUUGGCUUUAGCUUUACAAAUAAUUUGUCUCAACCAAAUUGGCUUUA